rnacentral:miRNA from 1 species
CUGGGGAAAGCAGGAGUGAG